ensembl:processed_transcript Gm17066 predicted gene 17066
AAAAUGAAACAGACCAUUCCAGAUGGUGAUCUGCCUUCUCCCUAUCAAAAAGAGCUAUAAUCACUAAAUAAUAAUGGUUACUGGUACCUUUACAAUGAUGUGCAAUCCAAUGUNUAAAAUUUAUACCACUUCGGUUUGGUUUGAUCAUAUAAAUUUUCAACAGAUGUCUUAAAAUUUAAAAGCAGGCUGAUUAGUUUGGAACCAGACUUCAAGUAGCGCUAACAUUUGGUGAAUAAGACAACUUCAUAUUACAUUUUGGAUGUAUGAAAGAAAACUUGACCAUUUGAAGAUGUAUGAAUAAAGAAAUGUACUAUAGAUACUACUUUAGGAAAACACUGUUUGUAGUCGUGAAAGAUGCCAAAUUGGCAGAGGCUCACGUUUCUUCUCUUUACACCAAACAGAGAGAGAACAUCACUGCCUGAAUUUAGCUUUUGACUACAUGAGCAAAGCCCUGUUUGUCCUGUCUGGAGACGACUGUUAAUAAUAUCAUCUUGUCAUUUGGUUUGCUCUCUAUCAAUCUGAAUAGAUGUUUACAUGUACUGUGAUGACCAUUUUAUCUUUAUAGUUCUGUACAAGUACAUCUGAGUCCAGACGUGUAUCAAAUGUAUGAGGUUUAUGACCUUAUUUAGAAAUGUUUUCUUCCCUUUAUAGCAAUUUAAUUUGUAAAACACCUUAAGAAGGAACAAGGCCUUUUAGUUUCCUUAUGAGAUGUAUUAUGUCCCGGGCAAACUGAGAGAUAUGUUUGGGAAAUCUAUAAAGCCAUGAGAGCAUUAAUUGAACAAUUUAGAAUGAAGAAA